rnacentral:rRNA from 1 species
UGGAAGUAAAAAUCGUAACAAGGUCUCCGUUGGUGAACCAGCGGAGGGAUCAUUACUGAGUUUACGCUCUAUAACCCUUUGUGAACAUACCUAUAACUGUUGCUUCGGCGGGUAGGGUCUCCGCGACCCUCCCGGCCUCCCGCCUCCGGGCGGGUCGGCGCCCGCCGGAGGAUAACCAAACUCUGAUUUAACGACGUUUCUUCUGAGUGGUACAAGCAAAUAAUCAAAACUUUUAACAACGGAUCUCUUGGUUCUGGCAUCGAUGAAGAACGCAGCGAAAUGCGAUAAGUAAUGUGAAUUGCAGAAUUCAGUGAAUCAUCGAAUCUUUGAACGCACAUUGCGCCCGCCAGCAUUCUGGCGGGCAUGCCUGUUCGAGCGUCAUUUCAACCCUCAAGCUCUGCUUGGUGUUGGGGCCCUACAGCUGAUGUAGGCCCUCAAAGGUAGUGGCGGACCCUCCCGGAGCCUCCUUUGCGUAGUAACUUUACGUCUCGCACUGGGAUCCGGAGGGACUCUUGCCGUAAAACCCCCCAAUUUUCCAAAGGUUGACCUCGGAUCAGGAUGGAAUACCCGCUGAACUUAAGCAUAUCAAA